UUCAACUGAAGAGUUUGAUCAUGGCUCAGAUUGAACGCUGGCGGCAGGCCUAACACAUGCAAGUCGAGCGGAAACGAUCCUAGCUUGCUAGGAGGCGUCGAGCGGCGGACGGGUGAGUAACGCAUAGGAAUCUACCCAGUCGUGGGGGAUAACCUGAGGAAACUCAGGCUAAUACCGCAUACGUCCUACGGGAGAAAGCGGGGGCUCUUCGGACCUCGCGCGAUUGGAUGAGCCUAUGUCGGAUUAGCUAGUUGGUCAGGUAACGGCUUACCAAGGCGACGAUCCGUAGCUGGUCUGAGAGGAUGAUCAGCCACACCGGGACUGAGACACGGCC
rnacentral:rRNA from 1 species